rnacentral:rRNA from 1 species
UAUUGCACAAUGGGGGGAACCCUGAUGCAGCGACGCCGCGUGGGUGAAGAAGGAUUUCGGUAUGUAAAGCCCUAUCGGCAGGGAAGAAUUUAGACGGUACCUGACUAAGAAGCCCCGGCUAACUACGUGCCAGCAGCCGCGGUAAUACGUAGGGGGCAAGCGUUAUCCGGAUGAACUGGGUGUAAAGGGCGUGUAGACGGCCAUGCAAGCCUGGAGUGAAAGCCCGGGGCCCAACCCCGGGACUGCUCUGGGAACUGUGCGGCUGGAGUGCGGGAGGGGCAGGCGGAAUUCCUGGUGUAGCGGUGAAAUGCGUAGAUAUCAGGAGGAACACCGGCGGCGAAGGCGGCCUGCUGGACCGCGACUGACGUUGAGGCUCGAAAGCGUGGGGAGCAAACAGG